GGCAAAAUGAUAAUGAAAUAAGGGUGCAGAGUCUGACAAUUGAGAAGGAUCAUUCACAUCAGCGUGUGUGGUGUGUAGUGUAGCAGGCCAGACAGCUCCAUAGCAUAAAGCGUGUGAUGGACGCAGUCGCAGCAGGUUCGGUGCUGAACAAGUCCGGAAGCGGAGGUUCGGAGCGCAGCGACGAUAACGGCAGAGGGAUAUUUGAGUACUUCGGUUGGGUUUACCACUUAGGAGUCAACUCCAUUGGCCAUGAGUACUGUCAUCUCCGUUUCCUUUUUAUUAGGGGAAAGUAUGUCGCCAUGUACAAGCGUGAUCCUCACGAAUACCCUGCCGUUAAACCCAUCAGGCAGGGAGUUGUGGGGCCCACACUUAUGGUGGAGGAGCUAGGUCGUCGAAAGGUCAACGAUGGGGAUCUUUAUGUUUUAAGGUUUUACAAUCGGUUAGAUGAGACUAAAAAGGGAGAAAUUGCUUGUGCUACAGCUGGGGAAGCUCGGGGAUGGAUGGAAGCAUUUGAUCAUGCUAAGCAACAGGCUGAGUAUGAGCUGUCAAGAGGAGGUAGUGCAAGAGACAAACUAAACAUGGAGGCCGAGAUCAAUCUUGAAGGACAUCGGCCUAGAGUGAGACGGUAUGCCCAUGGGUUGAGGAAGCUUAUAAGAAUUGGCCAAGGCCCAGAGAUGCUGAUUCGGCAAUCAUCAAAGUUGGCAGCCACUAGGCCAGAUGGGUUUGAAGGUGACAGUGGAGAUGCAGUUGAAGCACAUCAAUGGAAAUGUGUUCUUACCAUGGCUGGUAUUAGAAUUUUUGAGGAUGUUUCUAAUCACAAGAAUGGCAAGGGUGUCCUUGCAAAGUCUGUUGGUGUUAUUGAUGCUACUGCAGAUACUGUUUUUGAAGUGCUUUUGAACACUGAACAACAAAAAAGAUAUGAGUGGGAUAUGUUGAUGUGUGACUUGGAGUUAGUAGAUUCUUAUGAUGGACACUAUGAUGUUGUUUAUGGGACAUAUGAUUCUAAGUAUCUAACCCGGUGGCACUCAAAGCAGGAUUUUGUCUUCUCUAGGCAAUGGUUUCGUGGGCAAGAUGGAACAUACACUAUUUUGCAAUUUCCAGCUAUACAUAAGAAAAAGCUUCAGAGAUCUGGAUAUCGACGUGCAAAAAUUAAUCCAUCUACUUGGGAGAUUAGAAAUUUGAAUACACCUAUGGCAUCAAAUAGCCCAAGAUGUCUAGUAACACACACGUUGGAGAUACACCCAGCAUCCUGGCAUCGAUGGAAGAACAACAAGUGCUCAAAAUUUGAGAGGAGCAUUCCUUAUGCAUUAUUGUGCCAAGUGGCAGGUCUGAAGGAAUACAUUGCAGCCAAUCCAGUACUCUACUGUGAAACUACCACCACAAUUGUUCAUUCCAAAAUCUCUGAUGCUUCCAUUUCCAGUACUGAAUAUGAGGAUGAAAUGAAGGAUGAGUUUUAUGAUGCAAUUGCUGCUGAUUCAUCAUCAUCAGAUGAAGAAAGUGAUGAUGAUGAUGAGAAACUUGAUCUGAAGGAGCCGAGAAUCAGACUAAAGAAUAUUUCAUGGGCAAUCACAACCUUAGCUCUGACGCGAACAGCAGCUCCUGAUCUAAGUGAGGAAUUGGACCCUCAUGUAACUCCUGUCACAAUUCCUAGUGACUUACAUGGUUCUUUGUGCAAAGGAAAGGACGAUAAUGACACAAACUGUUGGACUUCUCCUAACGGGAAAGGAUUUAUGAUUAGAGGAAAGAACUAUCUUAAAGAUAGUUCUAAGGUAGUUGGAGGAGAUCCUCUUCUCAGGCUUGUAGCAGUUGAUUGGUUUAAAGUUGAUAAAUCUAUAGAUAGAAUUUCACUGGACCCUAGAUGUUUGGUUCAGUCAGAGGCUGGGAAAAAGCUUCCAUUUAUCCUUGUCAUUAAUCUCCAGGUUCCUGCCAAACCAAACUAUAGUCUGGUUCUAUAUUAUGCAGCUGACAGACCGAUAAAUAAAAAUUCUCUAUUAGCUAAAUUUGUUGAUGGAAGUGAUGCGUUUCGGGACUCUAGAUUUAAACUUAUUCCAAGUAUAGUUGAGGGAUAUUGGAUGGUCAAGAGAGCUGUUGGAACCAAAGCUUGCCUCUUAGGGAAAGCUGUGACUUGUAAAUACUUUAGACAAGAUAAUUUUUUGGAGAUUGACGUGGACAUUGGAUCAUCCUCUGUAGCAAGGAGUGUCAUUGGCCUUGUCCUGGGAUAUGUUACAAGCCUAGUAGUUGACCUUGCCAUUUUGAUAGAGGUUUGUGCCGCCUUCUUUCCUUAUUCCUUUUGGUGCAGGCUUGAUAUUUGGCCAGAAUAAAAAGGCUAUCAUUUUAUGGAACUGUGCUAUUUAUACAAUUCUCCGUUGUAUUUGGUUGGGGAGGGAUGCUCAUGUUGUUUAAAGUAAAUUUUAGUUAAGAACAUGCGAAGAGGUUGGAUUUCUUAUCCUCACUAAUAAAUUUUCUCUCUUUCUAAAGUAUGGUCUUCUUUUAUCAAUUUCACAUACACACGGGCAUACUACUACGAUUUAUGCUAAAGAUGUCGUAGCCCCGUUUACAAUAACAUGAAUCACAUAUGAGUGACAGAGAGGUUUGCAAAACGGAAUAUUUCUAUAGAAGGAAGGCGGUGAGCUGAUUAUAUUAACAUCACUUUCAAACAGAAUAAGCAAUUAAAGGAAAAUACUUUGAGGUCUACUAGUUUCUUUUUAUCAGGAACAGCGAAGGAAUCUACUCCUCGACAUUUUUUUCUUACAUUGACUGCCAGUGCAUUCACUUCUAAAAAUUGAAAAGGCAAAAGAAGAGGCGGAGCUGCCAGAGUACAUUCUUGGAACUGUCCGAUUAAACCGUUUGAAACUUGAAUCGGCUGUAACAUUGGAGGUUUAAAGUAGAACUGCCAAUAAUAUUGCAUCACCUAGUUCCGUUCCAUUGUUAUGACUAAAAUUUACACCUGGGAUUCAAAUAAAAAAUAAUAAUCUGAAUGAGCUUUCUCAGAUAUUGUUCCUUAAUAGGUGACAAGGUUGUACAGGCCUUCCUUUCUUCUAGAAGAAAUGAAAUGCAAUAUUUAAGUCGCUGAGCAUCUAAAAACCUUUCUCUUCACUAUAUUUAUGACAACCAGGAAACCUCUUG